rnacentral:rRNA from 1 species
AGCGAACGCUAGCGGCGGGCCUAACACAUGCAAGUCGAGCGGGGAGCAAUCCCAGCGGCGAACGGGUGAGUAACACGUAGGUAAUGUGCCUUUUGGUGGGGAAUAACCGUGGGAAACCAUGGCUAAUACCGCAUAUCGUGCUUCGGCAUGAAAGCUUCUGAGGCAACUCGGGGGCGCCAGUUGAGCAGCCUGCGUCCCAUUAUUUAGUCCUAGUUGGUAGGGUAAUGGCCUACCAAGGGUACGAUGGGUAGCUGGUCUGAGAGGAUGAUCAGCCACACUGGAACUGAGACACGGUCCAGACUCCUACGGGAGGCAGCAGUGGGGAAUAUUGCGCAAUGGGGGAAACCCUGACGCAGCCACGCCGCGUGAGUGAUGAAGGCCUUCGGGUUGUAAG